rnacentral:rRNA from 1 species
GGACCCGCACAAGUAGUGGAGCAUGUGGUUUAAUUCGAAGAUACGCGCAGAACCUUACCAACACUUGACAUGUUCGUCGCGACUUUAAGAGAUUAAAGUUUUCGGUUCGGCCGGACGAAACACAGGUGCUGCAUGGCUGUCGUCAGCUCGUGUCGUGAGAUGUUGGGUUAAGUCCCGCAACGAGCGCAACCCUCACUUUUAGUUGCCAUCAUUUAGUUGGGCACUCUGAAAGAACUGCCAGUGAUAAGCUGGAGGAAGGUGGGGAUGACGUCAAAGUCCUCAUGGCCCUUACGUGUUGGGCUACACACGUGCUACAAUGGUAUCUACAACAGGAAGCAAGAACGGCGACGUUUAG